rfam:Clostridiales bacterium GWD2_32_59 gwd2_scaffold_2467, whole genome shotgun sequence.
AGAGACUAUGAGGUAGAUAGGUUAGAGGUGUAAGCAUAGCAAUAUGUUUAGCUGACUAAUACUAAUAGGUCGAAGGUUUGACCAA